AGUGAACGCUGGCGGUAGGCCUAACACAUGCAAGUCGAACGGCAGCACAGUAAGAGCUUGCUCUUACGGGUGGCGAGUGGCGGACGGGUGAGGAAUACAUCGGAAUCUACUUUUUCGUGGGGGAUAACGUAGGGAAACUUACGCUAAUACCGCAUACGACCUACGGGUGAAAGCAGGGGAUCUUCGGACCUUGCGCGAUUGAAUGAGCCGAUGUCGGAUUAGCUAGUUGGCGGGGUAAAGGCCCACCAAGGCGACGAUCCGUAGCUGGUCUGAGAGGAUGAACAGCCAAACUGGAACGGAACCACGGUCCGGACCCUGAGGGGAGGCAGAGGGGGGGAAGUUGGGACAAUGGGCGCAAGCCUGAUCCAGCCAUCCCGGGUGGGGGAAGAAGGCCUUGGGGUGGAAAACCCCUUUUGUGGGGAAAAAAAAGCGGCGGGUUAAAACCCCGCUGUUCUGACGGUACCCAAAAAAUAAGCACCGCCUAAUUUCGU
rnacentral:rRNA from 1 species